CCUGUCCAACGUUACCCGGGGCAGGGUGAGUCGACCCCUAAGGCGAGGCCGAAAGGCGUAGUCGCUGGGACACAGGUUAAUCUUCCUGUACUUGGUGUUACUGCGAAGGGGGGACGGAGUAGGCUAUGUUAGCCGGGCGACGGUUGUCCCGGUUUAAGCAUGUAGGCGUAGGUUCCAGGUUAAUCCGGUACCUUUUAACGCUGAGGUUUGAUGACGAGGCACUACGGUGCUGAAG
rnacentral:rRNA from 1 species